rnacentral:tRNA from 1 species
UAGGGUGUAGCUCAGUGGUAAAGCACUUGCCUAGCAUGCAUGAAGCCUGGGUUCAACUCCUGUCACUACAA